rnacentral:lncRNA from 1 species
AUACGGUAAUAAAUAUGAGGAAUGUUUAAAAGACAUAGUCUAUGUUCUAUUUUUUUAAGAUUCAGAAGAGGUUUUGGACUUUUUCCAACUAUUCGAAUGACCAAAAGAAGUUAUUCAAAAGACUAAUUUGUACUUUGUCCCUCUCCUCAAAAUCUAAAUGAGUCCUAAGAGAUGAAACAAGGUGUGUACAUGGAAGAAUUAACCUUUUUGUUCACAUAUUGGUCGAGGUCAUGUGAAGGUCAGAUGAAAAGUCAUGGAGUACCUAUCUAUUACACUUCCUCGAAUGACGUCAUGGGUAAAUGAAAGCUGACUCAUGAAUAUUUUCCACUGCCUUCUUUCAUUCUUUCUCAAGAAAUUCAUUUUCUAAGUCAUGUUUAUAUUGUAUGUGUAUACGUAUCUAUGUAUUAAUGAAACAAUCUCGUGUGGGCUGCAUAGUUUUAUUUUUUUAAUCCAAUCGUUUGCGUAAGACAGUAGAAGUGUUAUGAUCAUACUCUGUCCAAAUGGGAUGGGGGCAGCGUUACUCUGAUAAAGACAC